CCUACGGGGCGCAGCAGUGGGGAAUAUUGCUCAAUGGGCGCAAGCCUGACGCAGCGACGCCGCGUGAGGGAUGAAGGUCUUCGGAUCGUAAACCUCUUUCAGCAGGGAAGAACGGUCACUGUGCUAAUCAGCAGUGAAUUGACGGUACCUGCAAAGGAAGCACCGGCUAACUCCGUGCCAGCAGCCGCGGUAAUACGGAGGGUGCGAGCGUUAAUCGGAAUUACUGGGCGUAAAGCGCUCGUAGGCGGUAUGUCAAGUCAAGGGUGAAAUCCCCGCGCUCAACGUGGGAAGUGCCUUUGAAACUGGCAAGCUGGAGUGUGUGAGAGGAUAGUGGAAUUCCAGGUGUAGGAGUGAAAUGCGUAGAGAUCAGGCGGAACAUCAGUGGCGAAGGCGACUAUCUGGCACAUAACUGACGCUGAGGAGCGAAAGCGUGGGUAGCAAACAGGAUUAGAUACCCGGGUAGUC
rnacentral:rRNA from 1 species